GACAGAGGGUGCAAACGUUGUUCGGAAUUACUGGGCGUAAAGCGCGUGUAGGCUGCUUCGCAAGUCGGAUGUGAAAGCCCUGGGCUCAACCCAGGAAGUGCAUUCGAAACUGCAGAGCUGGAGUCCUGGAGGGGAAGGCGGAAUUCUCGGUGUAGAGGUGAAAUGCGUAGAGAUCGGAAAGAACACCAACGGCGAAAGCACUCUGCUGGGCCGACACUGACACUGAGAGACGAAAGCUAGGGGAGCGAAUGGG
rnacentral:rRNA from 1 species